rnacentral:rRNA from 1 species
GAUGAACGCUGGCGGCGUGCUUAACACAUGCAAGUCGAACGGUGAACGAGGGAGCUUGCUCCCUCCGGAUCAGUGGCGAACGGGUGAGUAACACGUGAGCAAUCUGCCCUGGACUCUGGGAUAAGCGUUGGAAACGACGUCUAAUUCCGGAUACGAGGCGUGGGGGCAUCCCCAACGCCUGGAAAGAACUUCGGUCCAGGAUGAGCUCGCGGCCUAUCAGCUAGUUGGUGAGGUAACGGCUCACCAAGGCGACGACGGGUAGCCGGCCUGAGAGGGUGACCGGCCACACUGGGACUGAGACACGGCCCAGACUCCUACGGGAGGCAGCAGUGGGGAAUAUUGCACAAUGGGCGCAAGCCUGAUGCAGCAACGCCGCGUGAGGGACGACGGCCUUCGGGUUGUAAACCUCUUUAGCAGGGAAGAAGCGAAAGUGACGGUACCUGCAGAAAAAGCACCGGCUAACUACGUGCCAGCCGCCGCGGUAACAC